CCCUUCGCUCCACCUUCACUCUGACGCCGUUGACCUCCGUCGACGUAGCUCUUCUUCCCGAGGUUGACCCGGAGACUCUUCCCCGGCGGCGUCGGCGGGCGUAGAGGGGCCGGCGUCCCGGGCCGCCUCGUCCCUCAGAGGGUCCGCGGACUCGGCCCUCUCACCCGGGCGAUGGCGCUGCACGCACCCCCUGCCCCCUGUCCCCCCGGUUUCAUCCGAUCCAGAGGAGCGCCCCCCCACCGUCACCUCACCGCCAACCGGGGGGCCUCCCUCCCACCUCCCUUCUUCCCCCGAGGUACAAACCCCCAGCCCCAGUCCUCCGAAGCGGUCAUCGCCCUCACCCAUCCCGCCCAGCGGCCUCACAGACCAGGGAGGCAGGCCAGUCGGCCAGGGGGGGCCGGAGGUCAGGCGGCUCGUCCGUGAACCACCCGCCCGCUCCGGCUCCUUUCACACCGGGGACCGCUGCUGAACCCUGGCGGGUCCGUGCGUCCACACCUGAUCCAGAGGCUCCGUUGGUUUCCCGUCCCUCUGAACUCGCGCGCGGGGGCCGAGGUUCGAGCCUUCCAUCCUAUCCAGAUCUACACUGUUUCCAGGACGAUCCCCCGAGCCGUGAUAAUGGCAGACCCGGAGGCUUCAUCCAAACAGACGAGGAGACAUCUGGAACUGGAGACGCCGAGGAUGACAUGUCUAUCGACAGCCUGGGACUGACGCUGCAUGACGGAGCCUCCUCCGAUGAAGACGAGAUGGAGGAGGACGGUGGGGGGUCAGGCGAGUGGCGGUGGAGGGAUGAGGACCUCGUCCGCGCCUCUAACGCAACAUCAGAAGGUUCCCUGGUUCCUGAGGGCUCUGGAUCAGAACAAGAGCCAGACGCAGAGACAGGCGAGGCCGGGUUCCAGUCAAAGCCGUCCAGGAGAAAUACAGAUGGAAGAAAACAUGCUGUGAUACAGCAGCAGAUAAAGAAAAGUGGGAGCAGAGAGUGAGAGGAAGAGAGAGACAGAGAGAGAUUUUCUUGGAUUUCUCCUUUCCAUGCAACUUUUAUCCCUCCUCCUUCUUUCUUCUUUAACUCGUUCAUUUUGAGUCAACUCUCUCUCUUUCUCUCUCUGUUGCUCUCUUUCUUCCACUCUCUGUUUUCUGCUGCUUUAAUUUUCACCAUGAG
ensembl:lncRNA